rnacentral:lncRNA from 1 species
CUCUGCAGUGAGGGCCAGGCCAGCUGACAUGUCUCUGCAGUGAGGGUCAGGGCAGCUGACAUGUCUCUGCAGUGAGGGCCAGGGGCAGCUGACAUGUCUCUGCAGUGAGGGCCAGGGCAGCUGACAUGUCUCUGCAGUGAGAGCCAGGGGCAGCUGACAUGUCUCUGCAGUGAGGGCCAGGCCAGCUGACAUGUCUCUGCAGUGAGGGCCAGGGGCAGCUGACAUGUCUCUGCAGUGAGAGCCAGGGGCAGCUGACAUGUCUCUGCAGUGAGAGCCAGGGGCAGCUGACAUGUCUCUGCAGU